GAUGAACGCUGGCGGCGUGCCUAAUACAUGCAAGUCGAACGCAUAGCGAAAUGUGCUUGCACCUUUCAAGUGAGUGGCGAACGGGUGAGUAACACGUGGACAACCUGCCUCAAGGCUGGGGAUAACAUUUGGAAACAGAUUCUAAUACCGAAUAAAACUUAGUGUCCCAUGACACAAAGUUAAAAGGCGCUUCGGCGUCACCUAGAGAUGGAUCCGCGGUGCAUUAGUUAGUUGGUGGGGUAAAGGCCUACCAAGACAAUGAUGCAUAGCCGAGUUGAGAGACUGAUCGGCCACAUUGGGACUGAGACACGGCCCAAACUCCUACGGGAGGCUGCAGUAGGGAAUCUUCCACAAUGGGCGAAAGCCUGAUGGAGCAACGCCGCGUGUGUGAUGAAGGCUUUCGGGUCGUAAAGCACUGUUGUAUGGGAAGAACAGCUAGAAUAGGAAAUGAUUUUAGUUUGACGGUACCAUACCAGAAAGGGACGGCUAAAUACGUG
rnacentral:rRNA from 1 species